UGAGUGCAUACCAAGUGUGUUUUUCUGUGA
rnacentral:piRNA from 1 species